GAUUAACGCUGGCGGCGUGCCUAACACAUGCAAGUCGAGCGAGAAACUUUGGAAUGAGAUUUCGGUCAAGUGAAGAAGUGGAAAGCGGCGGACGGGUGAGUAACGCGUAGGCAACCUGCCCCAUACAGAGGGAUAGCCUCGGGAAAUCGGGAUUAAAACCUCAUAACGCUGACAGAACUCCUGUUUUGUCAGCCAAAGAUUUAUCGGUAUGGGAUGGGCCUGCGUCUGAUUAGUUAGUUGGUGGGGUAACGGCUCACCAAGACAGCGAUCAGUAGCCGACCUGAGAGGGUAAUCGGCCACAUUGGAACUGAGACACGGUCCAAACUCCUACGGGAGGCAGCAGUGGGGAAUAUUGCACAAUGGGCGAAAGCCUGAUGCAGCAACGCCGCGUGAGCGAUGAAGGUCCUAUGGAUCGUAAAGCUCUGUCCUUGGGGAAGAAAAAAAUGACGGUACCCAAGGAGGAAGCCCCGGCUAACUACGUGCCAGCCGCCGCAG
rnacentral:rRNA from 1 species